GAUGAACGCUGGCGGCGUGCUUAACACAUGCAAGUCGAACGGUGAAGCAGAGCUUGCUCUGUGGAUCAGUGGCGAACGGGUGAGUAACACGUGAGCAACCUGCCCCUGACUCUGGGAUAAGCGCUGGAAACGGCGUCUAAUACGGGAUAUGAGCUGCGACCGCAUGGUCAGCAGUUGGAAAGAUUUUUCGGUCUGGGAUGGGCUCACGGCCUAUCAGCUUGUUGGUGAGGUAAUGGCUCACCAAGGCGUCGACGGGUAGCCGGCCUGAGAGGGUGACCGGCCACACUGGGACUGAGACACGGCCCAGACUCCUACGGGAGGCAGCAGUGGGGAAUAUUGCACAAUGGGCGAAAGCCUGAUGCAGCAACGCCGCGUGAGGGAUGACGGCCUUCGGGUUGUAAACCUCUUUUAGCAGGGAAGAAGCGAAAGCGACGGUACCUGCAGAAAAAGCGCCGGCUAACUACGUG
rnacentral:rRNA from 1 species